GGGGAUUUAGCUCAGUGGUAGAGCACUUGCCUAGCAAGCACAAGGCCCUGAGUUCAGUCCCCA
rfam:Rattus norvegicus chromosome 9, whole genome shotgun sequence.